rnacentral:rRNA from 1 species
UACGUAGGGUCCGAGCGUUGUCCGGAAUUACUGGGCGUAAAGAGCUCGUAGGUGGUUUGUCGCGUUGUCCGUGAAAACUCACAGCUCAACUGUGGGCGUGCGGGCGAUACGGGCAGACUGGAGUACUGCAGGGGAGACUGGAAUUCCUGGUGUAGCGGUGGAAUGCGCAGAUAUCAGGAGGAACACCGGUGGCGAAGACGGGUCUCUGGGCAGUAACUGACGCUGGAGGAAGCGGAAAGCGUGGGGAGCGAACAG